rnacentral:rRNA from 1 species
AUAUUUGACAAUGGGCGCAAGCCUGAUCCAGCCAUGCCGCGUGAGUGAUGAAGGCCUUCGGGUUGUAAACUGCUUUUGUACGGAACGAAAAGCUUUGGGUUAAUACGCUGGUGUCAUGACGGUACCGUAAGAAUAAGCAACUGCCAACUACGUGCCAGCAGCCGCGGUAAUACGUAGGGUGAAAGCGUUAAUCGGAAUUACUGGGCGUAAAGCGUGCGCAGGAGGUGUUGUAAGACAGAGGUGAAAUCCCCGGGCUCAACCUGGGAACUGCCUUUGUGAAUGCAAGGCUAGAGUACGGCAGAGGGGGGUGGAAUUCCGCGUGUAGCAGUGAAAUACGUAGAUAUGCGGAGGAACACCGAUGGCGAAGGCAACCCCCUGGGCCUGUACUGACGCUCAUGCACGAAAGCGUGGGGAGCAAACA